CCAGAUAGCUCAGUCGGUAGAGCAGGGGAUUGAAAAUCCCCGUGUCGGUGGUUCGAUUCCACCUCUGGCC
rnacentral:tRNA from 1 species